GAUGAACGCUAGCGGCAGGCUUAAUACAUGCAAGUCGAGGGGCAGCAUGGGUGUAGCAAUACAUCUGAUGGCGACCGGCAAACGGGUGCGGAACACGUACGCAAUCUUCCAUUAAUUGGUGAAUAGCCUCUCGAAAGAGAGAUUAAUACACCGUAACAUAUAUGUGAGGCAUCUCAUAUAUAUUAUAGCUCCGGCGAUUAAUGAUGAGCGUGCGGCUGAUUAGGUAGUUGGUAGGGUAACGGCCUACCAAGCCAGCGAUCAGUAACUGGCGUGAGAGCGCGACCAGUCACACGGGCACUGAGACACGGGCCCGACUCCUACGGGAGGCAGCAGUAAGGAAUAUUGGUCAAUGGACGCAAGUCUGAACCAGCCAUGCCGCGUGCAGGAUGAAGGCCCUCUGGGUUGUAAACUGCUUUGUACAGGAGAAACCCAUUUACGUGUAAGUGGUUGACGGUACUGUCAGAA
rnacentral:rRNA from 1 species